rnacentral:lncRNA from 1 species
AUUAACAAUUAAAGGCGGAAUCAUGCUUGCAUGUACUCAAAAACAAAACAAUACCAUGAAAUUCAAAGCCUAGUAGAUUGGUGAACCAAUAAUCAACUCAAAACAAAGUGAGUUGAAAUUAUUACCUUUGUAGAUUCCUCUUUGCAUAAGCAAAGGCUAAUCACCCAAAGAGAUAGGGCCUUCAUUCCUUGCUUCUUAGAUCCAUGGAUUUGGAUGAAAAUUAGGUUUCUCCAAGUUCCCAAAAUAGGGAACCUCUAAGUCUCUUCACCAAGGUUUGAUUGUAGAAG